rnacentral:tRNA from 1 species
GCCUGGGUGGCUCGGUCGGUUAAGCGUCCGACUUCGGCUCGGGUCAUGAUCUCACAGUCCGUGGGUUCGAGCCCCGCGUCGGGCU